rnacentral:rRNA from 1 species
UGGGGAAUAUUGCACAAUGGGGGAAACCCUGAUGCAGCGACGCCGCGUGAGCGAAGAAGGUUUUCGAAUCGUAAAGCUCUGUCCUAUGAGAAGAUAAUGACGGUAUCAUAGGAGGAAGCCCCGGCCAAAUACGUGCCAGCAGCCGCGGUAAUACGUAUGUUGCGAGCGUUAUCCGGAAUUAUUGGGCUUAAAGGGCAUCUAGGCGGUAAGACAAGUUGAAGGUGAAAACCUGUGGCUCAACCAUAGGCUUGCCUACAAAACUGUUGAACUAGAGUACUGGAAAGGUGGGUGGAACUACACGAGUAGAGGUGAAAUUCGUAGAUAUGUGUAGGAAUGCCGAUGAUGAAGAUAACUCACUGGACAGAAACUGACGCUGAAGUGCGAAAGCUAGGGGAGCAAACAGG